AAGUCGUAACAAGGUCUCCGUUGGUGAACCAGCGGAGGGAUCAUUACAGGGUCUGACGACUGCCCAAAACCAACCGUGCUCCUUUCCUACAUCUUGUUUCGGUGAUCGCCUGCUGGGGAGGCCAUCGGCCGGGCGUCUUGCCCGGUGGUCGCCGGAACAUACCAACCAAAACUUUUACUUAGCAAUUAUCUUCUGAGAACUUUCUAAAAGAAAAAUCACAACUCACAACAAUGGAUCUCUUGGCUCUG
rnacentral:misc_RNA from 1 species